GCUAAUCUACAGUGUUAAGGUAGGACACAAAAUAAGAAAUUUGCAAGUGACUGAUAGUGAGAUAGAGAAAUAGAAACGUUUGACCAUUCUCACCUCGACAGAAUUGCUUUCCUGGUGCUGCUGGUUGGUAUGUGUAAGUGCUGGGAGGACAAGCUUGACAGUCUUUGAAUCCUCCAGUCGGUGGCUCACUUGUGUAACUGUUUCUUGGACACUCUAAACAAGGAACGAGUCCAGUUGGCGAAUACACACCUGGAAGUGGCAAGUUGCUCUGUUGCCAUAUUUGUCAGUGGCAAUAACGGUGACAUUUUCAAAGUUUCCGAUGGGGAUGGUGGCCUGAUUGGGGACGAAUGCAACAGUGACUUCGCCUGAAGCAUCUGAAACAUUCACCCUUCGUCUGGUUUCAUUGAAGUUGACAACAUAACUGUCUUGGCGGUCUACCAGUUCGAUAACGUAGCUUUGAGGGCAGCUCAACAUUGGUGGGGUCUCAUCUGAAAAAUGAAAGGAAAAAAAUGUAUGAGCAGAUGUGGAAAAUGCAGGUGAAUAGAAAACUAAAAAAACCAACUAACCUGUCACAGUGAUGUUGAUUUCACAAAUAGCAACAUUUCCAUCAAAAUCAUAAGCAACAUAUUUGACAGCCACAUCAUGGAAUGUGACCAAGGGAGUUCUGAAGCUCUGGGGUUUCACUUCUAAUCGCGCAAUGCUACCACUGUUGUCGACAGCAACUGGUUCUGUGAGAUUGACAGAAGUGGCAUUGAUAGCUGAGUCAGGAAUCCUUCCAGAGGCAAGACCAAGGGGUUUGAUGACCUUACAUUCUGGCUCUCUGAUACAACUGAUUGGUUUUGGGUUGAUUAAGAUGUAACCUGGUUUACUACAGCCGAACUGGACUUCGGAGCCCUGAAAAUUUAUUAAUAGAGGUAAUUAGAUAAUGGAAUAAUGAUGCAAUGGUAAAAGGAACAAGAUAAUCAUUAAUUUCAGAUGCAAACCCUAGAGGAUAAUCAAGAGCCGAUAAAAAUUUGACAAUUUUAAUCAAGACUCUAAUGCUAAUAACUUGAUUUUUCACUUUUGAUUUCCUGGAGAAAACUGUAGACCAAGUACAAUUCAACCAUCUUGUUACAGUGUUCAAGCCAAAUUUUUAUUGAUUAGUUCUUCUUGUGAAAUGAGCAGAUAUAAACUGCAAAAUAAAUUCAAUAACCCCAGUGCUAAUUUUGCUGAGCAAAUCAUGUUUCAAAGGCAUAUAAAAAACAGGUUUUGUGGUCACAGAUAAGGAAAUUGUUGCCUCUCGCAUGAGGGAAGGUAUCUUGUCUGCACUGUUUCAGUAU
rnacentral:lncRNA from 1 species